rnacentral:rRNA from 1 species
UACGUAGGGUGCGAGCGUUAAUCGGAAUUACUGGGCGUAAAGCGUGCGCAGGCGGUUGUGCAAGACAGAUGUGAAAUCCCCGGGCUCAACCUGGGAACUGCAUUUGUGACUGCACGGCUGGAGUGCGGCAGAGGGGGAUAGAAUUCCGCGUGUAGCAGCGAAAUGCGUAGAUAUGCGGAGGAACACCGAUGGCGAAGGCAAUCCCCUGGGCCUGCACUGACGCUCAUGCACGAAAGCGUGGGGAGCAAACAGG